UCGAGGGGCAGCAUGAUUGAAGCUUGCUUCAAUUGAUGGCGACCGGCGCACGGGUGAGUAACGCGUAUCCAACCUUCCGUACACUCAGGGAUAGCCUUUCGAAAGAAAGAUUAAUACCUGAUGGUAUGAUGAGAUUGCAUGAUAGCAUCAUUAAAGAUUUAUCGGUGUACGAUGGGGAUGCGUUCCAUUAGGUAGUAGGCGGGGUAACGGCCCACCUAGCCUACGAUGGAUAGGGGUUCUGAGAGGAAGGUCCCCCACAUUGGAACUGAGACACGGUCCAAACUCCUACGGGAGGCAGCAGUGAGGAAUAUUGGUCAAUGGACGAGAGUCUGAACCAGCCAAGUAGCGUGAAGGAUGAAGGUCUUACGGAUUGUAAACUUCUUUUAUAAGGGAAUAAAACCUCCCACGUGUGGGAGCUUGUAUGUACCUUAUGAAUAAGCAUCGGCUAACUCCGUGCCAGCAGCCGCGGUAAUACGGAGGAUGCGAGCGUUAUCCGGAUUUAUUGGGUUUAAAGGGAGCGCAGACGGGUCGUUAAGUCAGCUGUGAAAGUUUGGGGCUCAACCUUAAAAUUGCAGUUGAUACUGGCGUCCUUGAGUGCGGUUGAGGUGUGCGGAAUUCGUGAUGUAGCGGUGAAAUGCUUAGAUAUCACGAAGAACUCCGAUUGCGAAGGCAGCACACUAAGCCGUAACUGACGUUCAUGCUCGAAAGUGUGGGUAUCAAACAGGAUUAGAUACCCUGGUAGUCCACACGGUAAACGAUGGAUACUCGCUGUUGGCGAUAUACGGUCAGCGGCUUAGCGAAAGCGUUAAGUAUCC
rnacentral:rRNA from 1 species